AUACUUACCUGGCAAGGGAGAUACCGUGAUCAAGAAGGCGGUUCACCCAGGGCGAGGCUCAGCCAUUGCACUCCGGCUGUGCUGACCCCUGCGAAUUUCCCAAAUUCGAUUGCAUAAUUUAUGGUAGUGGGGGACUGCGUUCGCGCUCGCCCCUG
rnacentral:snRNA from 8 species